rnacentral:tRNA from 1 species
CAGAUGGUAGCUCAGCGGUUAGAGUUACUGCUUUUGGAUCAAAAGGUCGCGGGUUCGAUUCCCACCUCACUGC